rnacentral:rRNA from 1 species
UACGGAGGGUGCAAGCGUUAUCCGGAUUCACUGGGUUUAAAGGGUGCGUAGGCGGGUAGGUAAGUCAGUGGUGAAAUCUUCGAGCUUAACUCGGAAACUGCCUUUGAUACUAUCUAUCUUGAAUAUUGUGGAGGUAAGCGGAAUAUGUCAUGUAGCGGUGAAAUGCUUAGAUAUGACAUAGAACACCAAUUGCGAAGGCAGCUUACUACACAGUCAUUGACACUGAGGCACGAAAGCGUGGGGAUCAAACAGG